rnacentral:rRNA from 1 species
UACAGAGGGUGCGAGCGUUAAUCGGAAUUACUGGGCGUAAAGCGUGCGUAGGUGGUUUGUUAAGUCUGUUGUGAAAGCCCCGGGCUCAACCUGGGAAUGGCAAUGGAUACUGGCAAGCUAGAGUGCGGUAGAGGGUAGUGGAAUUCCCGGUGUAGCGGUGAAAUGCGUAGAGAUCGGGAGGAACACCAAUAGCGAAGGCAGCUCGCUGGGACGUUACUGACACUGAGGCGCGAAAGCGUGGGGAGCGAACAGG